rnacentral:misc_RNA from 1 species
UGAGUCUGGGGACCCAAGAUCUUAUUUUCCUUUCUGUCACCCCCGCUUGGUUUUGGAUUCCGUGACAGCUGGACCCGGCUUCUGCGUG